rnacentral:rRNA from 1 species
AACGAACGCUGGCGGCAUGCCUAACACAUGCAAGUCGAACGAGACCUUCGGGUCUAGUGGCGCACGGGUGCGUAACGCGUGGGAACCUGCCCUUAGGCUCGGAAUAACUCCCCGAAAGGGGUGCUAAUACCGGAUAAUGUCUUCGGACCAAAGAUUUAUCGCCUUUGGAUGGGCCCGCGUUGGAUUAGCUAGUUGGUAGGGUAAAAGCCUACCAAGGCGACGAUCCAUAGCUGGUCUGAGAGGAUGAUCAGCCACACUGGGACUGAGACACAGCCCAGACUCCGACGGGAGGCAGCAGUGGGGAAUAUUGGACAAUGGGCGAAAGCCUGAUCCAGCAAUGCCGCGUGAGUGAUGAAGGCCUGAGGGUUGUAAAGCUCUUUUACCCGGGAUGAUAAUGACAGUACCGGGAGAAUAAGCACCGGCUAACUCCGUG